rnacentral:rRNA from 1 species
UCGUAGACCCGAAACCAGGUGAUCUACCCUUGGUCAGGUUGAAGUUCAGGUAACACUGAAUGGAGGACCGAACCGACUUACGUUGAAAAGUGAGCGGAUGAACUGAGGGUAGCGGAGAAAUUCCAAUCGAACCUGGAGAUAGCUGGUUCUCUCCGAAAUAGCUUUAGGGCUAGCCUCAAGUGAUGAUUAUUGGAGGUAGAGCACUGUUUGGACGAGGGGCCCCUCUCGGGUUACCGAAUUCAGACAAACUCCGAAUGCCAAUUAAUUUAACUUGGGAGUCAGAACAUGGGUGAUAAGGUCCGUGUUCGAAAGGGAAACAGCCCAGACCACCAGCUAAGGUCCCAAAAUAUAUGUUAAGUGGAAAAGGAUGUGGCGUUGCCCAGACAACUAGGAUGUUGGCUUAGAAGCAGCCAUCAUUUAAAGAGUGCGUAAUAGCUCACUAGUCGAGUGACACUGCGCCGAAAAUGUACCGGGGCUAAACAUAUUACCGAAGCUGUGGAUUGUCCUUUGGACAAUGGUAGGAGAGCGUUCUAAGGGCGUUGAAGCAUGAUCGUAAGGACAUGUGGAGCGCUUAGAAGUGAGAAUGCCGGUGUGAGUAGCGAAAGACGGGUGAGAAUCCCGUCCACCGAUUGACUAAGGUUUCCAGAGGAAGGCUCGUCCGCUCUGGGUUAGUCGGGUCCUAAGCUGAGGCCGACAGGCGUAGGCGAUGGAUAACAGGUUGAUAUUCCUGUACCACCUAUAAUCGUUUUA